rnacentral:rRNA from 1 species
GACGAACGCUGGCGGCGUGCCUAAUACAUGCAAGUAGAACGCUGAAGGAGGAGCUUGCUUCUCUGGAUGAGUUGCGAACGGGUGAGUAACGCGUAGGUAACCUGCCUGGUAGCGGGGGAUAACUAUUGGAAACGAUAGCUAAUACCGCAUAAUAGUAGAUGUUGCAUGACAUUUGCUUAAAAGGUGCAAUUGCAUCACUACCAGAUGGACCUGCGUUGUAUUAGCUAGUUGGUGAGGUAACGGCUCACCAAGGCAACGAUACAUAGCCGACCUGAGAGGGUGAUCGGCCACACUGGGACUGAGACACGGCCCAGACUCCUACGGGAGGCAGCAGUAGGGAAUCUUCGGCAAUGGACGGAAGUCUGACCGAGCAACGCCGCGUGAGUGAAGAAGGUAUUCGGAUCGUAAAGCUCUGUUGUAAGAGAAGAACGAGUGUGAGAGUGGAAAGUUCACACUGUGACGGUAUCUUACCAGAAAGGGACGGCUAACUACGUG